rnacentral:rRNA from 1 species
ACGUAGGGACCAAGCGUUGUUCGGAUUUACUGGGCGUAAAGGGCGCGUAGGCGGCGUGGUAAGUCAGCUGUGAAAUCUCCGAGCUUAACUCGGAACGGUCAGCUGAUACUGCUGUGCUAGAGUACAGAAGGGGCAAUCGGAAUUCUUGGUGUAGCGGUGAAAUGCGUAGAUAUCAAGAGGAACACCUGAGGUGAAGACGGGUUGCUGGGCUGAUACUGACGCUGAGGCGCGAAAGCUAGGGUAGCAAACGGGAUUAGAUACCCCGGUAGUCCUAGCCCUAAACGAUGUAUGCUUGGUGUCUGGAGUUUUAAAUCUCCGGGUGCCGUCGCUAACGCUUUUAGCAUACCGCCUGGGGAGUACGCACGCAAGUGUG